rnacentral:rRNA from 1 species
AUUGAACGCUGGCGGCAGGCCUAACACAUGCAAGUCGAACGGUAACAGGAAGAAGCUUGCUUCUUUGCUGACGAGUGGCGGACGGGUGAGUAAUGUCUGGGAAACUGCCUGAUGGAGGGGGAUAACUACUGGAAACGGUAGCUAAUACCGCAUAACGUCGCAAGCCCAAAGAGGGGGACCUUCGGGCCUCUUGCCAUCGGAUGUGCCCAGAUGGGAUUAGCUAGUAGGUGGGGUAACGGCUCACCUAGGCGACGAUCCCUAGCUGGCCUGAGAGGAUGACCAGCCACACUGGAACUGAGACACGGUCCAGGCUCCUACGGGAGGCAGCAGUGGGGAAUAUUGCACAAUGGGCGAAAGCCUGAUGCAGCCAUGCCGCGUGUAUGAAGAAGGCCUUCGGGUUGUAAAGUUCUUUCAGCGGGGAGGAAGGGAGUAAAGUUAAUACCUUUACUCAUUGACGUUACCCGCAGAAGAAGCACCGGCUAACUCCGUG